rnacentral:misc_RNA from 1 species
GAUGAAGACGCAGCGAAAUGCGAUAAGUAAUGUGAAUUGCAGAAUUCAGUGAAUCAUCGAAUCUUUGAACGCACAUUGCGCCCAUUAGUAUUCUAGUGGGCAUGCCUGUUCGAGCGUCAUUUCAACCCUUAAGCCUAGCUUAGUAUUGGGAAUCGACUUUACUGUCGUUCCUCAAAUUCAACGGCGGAUUUAUAGCAAUCUCUGAACGUAGUAAUUUUUUUCCUCGUUUUUGAAAUACUAUAAACCUCAGCCGCUAAACCCCCAAUUUUUUUAUGGUUGACCUCGGAUCAGGUAGGAAUACCCGCUGAACUUAAGCAUAUCAAUAAGCGGAGGA